rnacentral:rRNA from 1 species
UUGUGUGUUAAGUCUGACGUAAAAACUUGGGGCUCAACCCCAAAUAGCGUUGGAUACUGGCACGCUARAAUUGUGUAGAGGUUAGCGGAAUUCCUAGUGAAGCGGUGAAAUGCGUAGAUAUUAGGAAGAACAUCAACAUGGCGAAGGCAGCUAACUGGGCACAUAUUGACACUGAGAGACGAAAGCGUGGGGAGCAAACAGGAUUAGAUACCCUGGUAGUCCACGCCGUAAACGAUGAUGAUUAGCUGAUGGGAACCAUYGGCACAGCUAACGCAUUAAAUCAUCCGCCUGAGUAGUAUGCACGCAAGUGUGAAACUUAWAGGAAUUGACGGGGAUCCGCACAAGCGGUGGAGCAUGUGGUUUAAUUUGAAGAUACGCGUAGAACCUUACCCACU